UGCCAGACUUCAUGGUAUUUC
rnacentral:piRNA from 1 species